rnacentral:lncRNA from 1 species
CGCUCUUUAGUUGGAAUCCUUUGUUGAUUUCCCCCAACUGAGCAAGAUUCGUAUUCUCUGUAGAAUCGAAUAGCCAUCCUUUAACCAGUUUGCGUUUUGGAUGAUGAGUGUUUUGGAACACACACCAAUUCACGUUUUUUGUCCAUCCUUUAAACAAGUCUGCUGUUCUAGCUUUCUUUCGGAUGAUGAGUGUUUUGGAAAUUUUGGAACACACACCAAUUCACGUUUUUUGUCCAUCCUUUAAACAAGUCUGCUGUUCUAGCUUUCUUUCGGAUGAUGAGUGUUUUG